rnacentral:rRNA from 1 species
UACGUAGGGGGCAAGCGUUGUUCGGAAUUACUGGGCGUAAAGGGCGCGUAGGCGGCACAGCAAGUCGGGAGUGAAAGCCCGGGGCUCAACCCCGGAACGUCUUUCGAAACUGCUGAGCUCGAGUGCGGAAGAGGCAACUGGAAUUCCCAGUGUAGCGGUGAAAUGCGUAGAUAUUCGCAAGAACACCAGUGGCGAAGGCGGCUCACUGGCCCGAUACUGACGCUGAGGCACGAAAGCGUGGGGAGCAAACAGG